rnacentral:lncRNA from 1 species
AUAGUAAAUGACUGUAGAAAAUGGUUAUGGAUUGAACCAAGGGAAUGAUGAAUCAACAACAACAUGAAGAAGUGAUUGCACCUAAUUGUUUGGACAAAUCUAUAAGUUUAUAGCUAGAUACUGGGGAGAUGCCAAAUAAUAUGAGCUUGAAUGCUGAUAAGUCUAUCUUGGACAAUGCUGUAAAUUUAAAUAUGAUGAGCAACUAAUUUUUUAAGUCAAAUAAUAUGGUUAAUCUUAUGGUGGUGAAUAAUAAACAUGAGUACGAGUCAAAAAGCAAUAACUUGGAAUAAGGCCCAUCGAUGUUUGUGGGUUGACGAAUGUGAGCUUCAACAAUCAAUUGGAAAUGACCUUUAGUGAUUCUUAUGAUUCAAACAACACUG